rnacentral:lncRNA from 1 species
AUUGACAAUAAUGGGCAGAUUACAGAAACUUGCUACAAAAGUUACAAGACAGUAUCAAGGAAAAAAGACAUGGUUUGCUUUCAAAAAGUGUUGCUGCUAGCUAACAAUGCACCUACAUACCAAGUUACAGAAACAAUCAGUUUUCUGCAUAAAUAUGGCUAUGAAAUCUUGGCCCAUCUCCCAUAUUUUCCCAAUCUGGCACAUUUUAGACUUCCUGUUUCAAAAUAAGAGAAGAUUUAUUGGGAAGAACUUUUUUCAAUGAGGAGAUCAUUACUCUAUGGAGAGCUGGUUUGCAAAUUACAAGACUUCUACAGAGAUGGGAUUAAAUAACUGUUCCACAUUUGAGAAGUAUAUGGCUCUAGGAGAUGACUAUGUAGAGAAGAAAAUUAGAGGAUCAAAUUUCAGAUCCAUUACACAGCAUCAUGAUGAAGGUAAAAAACUUUUGGCCUCCCCUUUUAUUUGUAAAGAAUUGAUGUAUUCAUUGCAUCUGUAAUCAGAGGUUGUCAAAUUUGUUGGAAUCAAGACCUCUUAAUGAAAUUCUAUUUUAUUGACUCCACU